rnacentral:rRNA from 1 species
CCUACGGGGGGCAGCAGUGAGGAAUAUUGGUCAAUGGCCGGAAGGCUGAACCAGCCAAGUCGCGUGAGGGAAUAAGGCCCUAUGGGUCGUAAACCUCUUUUGUCAGGGAGCCAAGGCGUCCACGAGUGGACGAAAGGAGAGUACCUGAAGAACAAGCAUCGGCUAACCCCGUGCCAGCAGCCGCGGUAAUACGGAGGUUGCGAGCGUUAUCGGGAUUUAUUGGGUUUAAAGGGUUCGUAGGCGGAGGGUCAAGUAAGCGGUAAAAGUUCGGGGCUCAACCCCGGCGUGCCGUUGAAACUGACACCCUUGAGUGAGUGAGAAGUAAGCGGAAUGCGUGGUGUAGCGGGGAAAUGCAGAGAUAUCACGCAGAA